GAACGGGCUGGGGAUUCUGGGCUGUGCGUGCGCAGUUGUAACGGUUGGGGGAGGUGCCGGUGACAUCGCCUGUGACUGCUUGUCGCGGCGCCGCCCUGACCUGCGGCUCCACCGCAGCCGGGCCCGGGUCUCCGGGGCCCGCUCGUUUGUCUGCUCUCGGCGGAGGUGGCCCGGCCGCACCGGCUGUGCGGUUAGGGCCGGUUUUGUGGGUACCUGCCCCUGGGUAACUGAUUCCCCGGCUCGUUUCCCCCGGGCUGCUCACCAGAUAGGGCAGCCGCUGAGGUGGCGAUGAGACGUUCCAGCCGAUCCUCGCCCUCCGCCCGGAUUGCACUAGCCCGAGGUCCCUGGCUCCCAGCCCGUCAGGAGUCUGAGCUCCUGCCGCCUGUCCCCGACCCACCACUCCCCGGAGUCCCAGAAGAUGCUGAAGAUGCUUAGAGAAGAUCUACUGAAGGUGUUUGAAGAAGCCUGCUCUGUAUCCUACAAUAUCAACUUCAUCUCCACUGAAGGAAGGAGGUUCCCAAAUACACCAAAAAGAUGGAGAGUAAAAUGAACUUUCACAUCUUAGUCCAAAUCCAGUGAAAAUUCUGUCUCCUCCCAAAACUGCCCUAUGGAUUGAUAGUAUCACUGCUCUGGUGGAAGGAAGCUGUUGUGGAAGGUCGUGGAAGCGGAGGUGAUCCCAUGGAUAGCUGAGAAUGUCAGGACAGAGAAUUUGAGUUGGACUCUGUAUUCAGUGGGGAGCCAAUACAGAGUGAAAUACUGGGAUGAUGUGCUCAUGGAGAGGCUAUGGGGAAACACCCUCACCACAAAAAAGUGUGCCAUGAUCUGCAGAUGCACUCUAGAUUCUCUGUGUCAAACAAAUGACUGCUUUGUUCCUGAGCUGAAGAGCUGACCAUUUCAGACCCUCAUUCUCCAAUUGGAUCCAUGUGGGCAAACCCUUAUGCCUGGCUGGAGCCUCAUUGUGUCCACUGGCACUUGGCAUGGGCAUGUGGGUACAUCCAUGCGGGAUCAAGGCCGAUCCUAUAAAAUGCUGAGUAGACCUGGCUUUAAAAAUAUUUGUUUAAAUUUGGGAUUUUUUUUUCUUUUGGUGGAAAUCUGAAAACAAACAAAAAAGCUUCAGCCAAAAUGUGAAAUGCUGCUGUGAUGCUUCAUGGGAGUCGCAGUCUGGAUAGUUCAUACUCCCAUUCUUCUCUGUAGGCUGCACAUCAGGAGAGACAUAGUCCAUCUGGGCAGCAUGGCUCAUAGAAGAGAAUGAGGACACCAGGAAACUGAAUUUUCAUGAGGCAUGGCAACAGCAUUUCCAGAAGUGUGCACAAAUGAUGAAGUGACUUGAACUCAGAACCCACACAGACUGGUCAGUGUGCCUCACGGAACAGGUUUCUGAAGGUGGAGAGUGGGCUCUAGAAUUUUCAAUGGGAAGCUCUCCAAUGCAUGAGGGUACCACGAAAGGGGGAACGAAGUAAGGAGCAGAUAGAGACAGGUGUGUCUAGCUUCUUAAUUGUUAGACUUGUUUUCUGUGUACUGCUCCUUUAAAUUUCUAGUUAUCUGCCUGGGCAGUUGCCAUUUUGUGACUUAGAAUUGCCGCAACAUAGAACAACAGAGAUGGACACUGGUUUCUCUUAUGGAGCUUUUACUCUUAUUCUUUCUUGGUUUUUGUUUUGGUAUGAAAGAUUCAUUCACUCUCAGUAUAUGAUCUGAAAAACAACAGACAAAAAGGACAAAGGGAAGUCUGGAAAAUGGGAAGUAGAAGCUUGUGUGGGAGCCAGUGAGAUCAGAGGUAUGCUGAAGUGGGGGCAGUAUUAUGAAGAACUUUCAAAGUCUGAGAAGCAUGUAAGCUGCAUAGAAUUCUACGGGAAGCCAGUGGAGAAAAUCAAAAAGAUGUGGAGAUGUGGUCAGAGGAAGCUUAUUUAGAUUUGUAAUUAUUAAAGAGUGCCUAUCUGAGGCUCUGGGCUCCCUAAUACUUAUACAAUAUAAUGAAAACCUAGCAACCCUGAAAUCAUUCAACCAGGAACUCAGCCAGCCCCCUGUAGAAACUCCUUUUAUUUGCUUCCCAUGAUGAUAAAUGGGUGGAAAGGAAACAUUUUUUUUAAUUCAACAGAUCUUUUGGAGCUAUAUUAUCAUGGGGCACUAUUGAUGCAAAUAAUUGUAGACCUCAAUCCACCAGAUCACCUAAGCACAUGCAUAAUUUUAAUGAUGUGAGUAACCCCACUUAUCUCAAUGCAGCUACUCUGGUCUCUUAAUGUUAUUUCAUGCUUACAUUCUUUGAUGGAUCAGGGCCUUAGCCCCCAAGACUAGCUAUUCGUAUCUGGAUAGCAAUGGCAUCUUCUGCUAUGCUAGCUGGAGUGAAAUAUGUAUGGCUGUCACUGCUUCACAGCAAAAGCAGACCACCAGAUGGAGUCAGGAAGAAAUGUUUCCACCAUGGUAUAAUAAUGCACAAUUAAGCUUUUAUGCUUUCUUCUGAAGCCUCAGGAUUUGCUCACUUUAGGAGACAAGAUGCCAGGCUAGAUGGACCAUUUUGUUCCUCUAUGGUGACUUGUAUUUGUGACCAUAUAUGGUUAUUUGACUAAUGGCAUCUGAAUAUAUAUUUGAAUGUGCAGACACAGAUCCCAUAAUUCAGAAAGCUGCUCUAGUGAGUAAACAUCAAGUGAAGGAUUAAUCUUUAUUUGUGAGGAAUCCAUUCUAGCAAGAAAUUAAACUCCUUCAUCCAAAGGAGGGGGGCUAUUAUUGGUGUGGUGUGGAGAAGAAUCUGCUUUGUUUGUUGGUAGGUUUUAUAGUCCUAUCUUAGGCUUUUAAGCAACAGCCUAGGGUACUCUUUUCACAUGAUUGUUUUCCUCUCUGCAGUCUGUGUCAGCUAGUGGCCAGGUCCAGCACUGCUUAGCUUUUAAAAUUAAAUGAAUAAGCCCAACUACAGUUGAACCAGUUUUCCCCUGUACCUUCACGGAAGUGCUGCCCAGAGGCUGGGGCAAAAGGGCAAAUCCAUGGAACAAUAUGAUUAUUGGAUGAAACAUGUCUACUGUGUACAACCCAAAUGUACAUAUAUGAAUUCAAAAGACAAUAUAAUGCUGAAAAUGACUAUUCAUUUAAACAAUUAACAUUUUUAAAAAUCAUUUUACUGGCCACUUUCUGGUUUAAGACGCUACAAGCCAUUGUCGAAAGUCGUUUACUUCAAGACUCUGAGCUUACAUUUGAUGAUGAAUCAAGGCUGAUGAAAUCACUUCUAAGUGCACUGGAGGGCCUUUGAGAAUCUUGGCCUCUGUUUUUUGACAAGUCAAAAUUUGUAGCAGCUGGUCUGGGCCUUGAACAAGAUUUCAAAAAGAAAAGAGGAAAACAUUCCAUGAUGAAGACAGGACCACUGCAUGUGGCCAGGAAAAUCAAGAAACUGAGUUCAAAGUUGAUGUUUUUUACAUUGCUCUAGAUGUGCUUAUAUGCAAAAUUACAAGAAGAUCUGAAACAACUGAAAAAAUCAGCAGCAUAUCUUCACUUAUUUGGAGCCUGACAACAAAUGAUGCCAAGUACAGUAUCUCAAAAGUUCAAACUAUCAAAAUGCUACCCAAUAGAUUUGAUGGAAGAUGAUUCUGUUGAAGAAACUCACCUUUUAAAAUAAGCUGAGAGAGUGACUAUUUGAAAAAGUGAUUUUAAUUAAGUUGUUAAACAAGACUUACUAAAAAGGACUGCAGAAUAUUUCCCCACAGAUCUGCAUUGCUCUAAGGAUUUUUGUCUCUAUGCUGAUUUUGGUUUCCCAAGAGGAGUGAUCCUUUAGCAAAUUAGCCCUGCUGCUGCUGCUGCUUUUUUUUUUUUUUUUUUUUAAAAAGCCUCCACUCUACCAUGGGUAAAUAGUGUGUAUUGGCCUUAGUGAUGCUGUCGAUAGAGUACGAUCUUGCAAGGAGCCUAAAUUAUAACUCAUUUGAUGCUAUCUUUUUGUUUUUGUAAAGAUAACGUGGCGUGAUUUCUUUGGUGAUAAUAAAUCAGCUUUAAAGUUUUCAA